UCCCAAUGAUGAGACCAAGGCGAAUGCAAGCUCGUUGGGUAAGAGUCUGAGCUCUUCUGUGUUCCUAUUGGCGGGUAAUCUUAGCUGGGCAGAGGAGAUUUGCUGCUUUGCUGUAAGGGCCUGCCUACAUUAAGCAAGUUAUUCCUUUCAAGCUCUCCCUCAGAGAAAUGCAGGAGAGAUUUGGGAAGCAUGAUCAGUGUGUGUGUGGUGUGAGUGUGUGGACACGGGUCAAAACUCGGCUCUCUGUAAUGUCCAAUGAGCUAUGAGCUAAUUCUUUUGUAAUCUGAGGGAG